rnacentral:rRNA from 1 species
UUGAACGCUGGCGGCAUGCCUUACACAUGCAAGUCGAACGGCAGCAUGAUCUAGCUUGCUAGAUUGAUGGCGAGUGGCGAACGGGUGAGUAAUACAUCGGAACGUGCCCUGUAGUGGGGGAUAACUAGUCGAAAGAUAGCUAAUACCGCAUACGACCUGAGGGUGAAAGUGGGGGACCGCAAGGCCUCAUGCUAUAGGAGCGGCCGAUGUCUGAUUAGCUAGUUGGUGGGGUAAAGGCCCACCAAGGCGACGAUCAGUAGCUGGUCUGAGAGGACGAUCAGCCACACUGGGACUGAGACACGGCCCAGACUCCUACGGGAGGCAGCAGUGGGGAAUUUUGGACAAUGGGGGCAACCCUGAUCCAGCAAUGCCGCGUGUGUGAAGAAGGCCUUCGGGUUGUAAAGCACUUUUGUCCGGAAAGAAAUCGCCUUGGAUAAUACCUGAGGUGGAUGACGGUACCGGAAGAAUAAGGACCGGCUAACUACGUGCCAGCAGCCGCGGUAAUACGUAGGGUCCAAGCGUUAAUCGGAAUUACUGGGCGUAAAGCGUGCGCAGGCGGUUGUGCAAGACCGAUGUGAAAUCCCCGAGCUUAACUUGGGAAUUGCAUUGGUGACUGCACAGCUAGAGUGUGUCAGAGGGGGGUAGAAUUCCACGUGUAGCAGUGAAAUGCGUAGAGAUGUGGAGGAAUACCGAUGGCGAAGGCAGCCCCCUGGGAUAACACUGACGCUCAUGCACGAAAGCGUGGGGAGCAAACAGGAUUAGAUACCCUGGUAGUCCACGCCCUAAACGAUGUCAACUAGUUGUUGGGGAUUCAUUUCCUUAGUAACGUAGCUAACGCGUGAAGUUGACCGCCUGGGGAGUACGGUCGCAAGAUUAAAACUCAAAGGAAUUGACGGGGACCCGCACAAGCGGUGGAUGAUGUGGAUUAAUUCGAUGCAACGCGAAAAACCUUACCUACCCUUGACAUGCCACUAACGA